rnacentral:rRNA from 2 species
AUUGAACGCUGGCGGCAGGCCUAACACAUGCAAGUCGAGCGGCAGCGGGAAAGUAGCUUGCUACUUUUGCCGGCGAGCGGCGGACGGGUGAGUAAUGCCUGGGGAUCUGCCCAAUCGAGGGGGAUAACUACUGGAAACGGUAGCUAAUACCGCAUACGCCCUACGGGGGAAAGCAGGGGACCUUCGGGCCUUGCGCGAUUGGAUGAACCCAGGUGGGAUUAGCUAGUUGGUGAGGUAACGGCUCACCAAGGCGACGAUCCCUAGCUGGUCUGAGAGGAUGAUCAGCCACACUGGAACUGAGACACGGUCCAGACUCCUACGGGAGGCAGCAGUGGGGAAUAUUGCACAAUGGGGGAAACCCUGAUGCAGCCAUGCCGCGUGUGUGAAGAAGGCCUUCGGGUUGUAAAGCACUUUCAGCGAGGAGGAAAGGUCAGUAGCUAAUAUCUGCUGGCUGUGACGUACUCGCAG